rnacentral:misc_RNA from 1 species
GUGGUGUUUGGAUCGUCCCUGCCGGCUGGCUCCGUGCCCGUCCACCGAACGGCCGGCAGGCGAUCCGCGUCGUCGCAAAGGGGUGCCGUCAUGUACGGUUGCCCGGAGGCCGGUUCUUGUGUUGCCUACCCCUUCAGGGGAAGCGUAGGCCACUCGAUGUGACCCUCCAUCCGGCGCCCUCCGCAAAGGGCGCCGCUGGACAGCGUAGCACCCCCCGCGUUCCACCGAGCCCCAGUCGGUCGCGUGGCGCGCGGGGACGUGCGAUGCUCUCGGACCCAGCGCACGCCGUGGGCGAGGACUCACGUCCCAGUCCCAAAAAGAGAAGCUUCGAUGCUAUGUAUGACGGCCGCCCCCGCCCCCGACCGCCCCGGCGGCGCGGGGACGCGGGGCGGCGUCGCGGAGGAAUGCUACCUGGUUGAUCCUGCCAGUAGUCAUAUGCUUGUCUCAAAGAUUAAGCCAU